rnacentral:rRNA from 1 species
AGCGAACGCUGGCGGCAGGCCUAACACAUGCAAGUCGAGCGAAGUCUUCGGACUUAGUGGCGGACGGGUGAGUAACACGUGGGAACGUGCCUUUAGGUUCGGAAUAACUCAGGGAAACUUGUGCUAAUACCGAAUGUGCCCUUCGGGGGAAAGAUUUAUCGCCUUUAGAGCGGCCCGCGUCUGAUUAGCUAGUUGGUGAGGUAAAGGCCCACCAAGGCUACGAUCAGUAGCUGGUCUGAGAGGAUGACCAGCCACAUUGGGACUGAGACACGGCCCAAACUCCUACGGGAGGCAGCAGUGGGGAAUCUUGCGCAAUGGGCGAAAGCCUGACGCAGCCAUGCCGCGUGGAUGAUGAAGGUCUUAGGAUUGUAAAAUCCUUUCACCGGUGAAGAUAAUGACUGUAGCCGGAGAAGAAGCCCCGGCUAACUUCGUGCCAGCCGCCGCAGUAACAC